ensembl:lncRNA
CGCUGCUCUCAGCGCCAGGCGGAGCGGCGAGAAACAACGCACGAGCUCAACCCAAAUCAUGGACUAAAUUGCCAAGCCAUUGAAGAUUCACCAGACAAACUCCUUAUUGGUAUUUAUUUUGGGUUUAAUCCAGGUGCGUCCAGCUGUGUCCUGUAUCUUUUUGUCUCAACACAACAUGCUGCGUGUUCUGGGUGCUGUAUGCUUGAAGAUGUCUAAUGCUGCUUGUGUGGUUGUUGGACCGUAUCUGCUUAGUAGUGUGUAAAUACCAGGAAGGCUCUCAAGCUCUUAGCAACCUCUCACAGUGGCAUUUCAUAAUGUUUACUGGUUACAAAGGCAGCCGAACAGAUGAUCCUGACAGCGGCCUCUCUGAUUCACUACCACCCCUUCAACUGUUCAUUACAGGUUUUCUUACCAGCAGUUAAAUUGGCACUAAAAGUUCCCGGGUCCCCCUUGUGCCACCAAAACAUCUCUGACCUGUC